CCUACGGGAGGCAGCAGUGAGGAAUAUUGGUCAAUGGACGAGAGUCUGAACCAGCCAAGUAGCGUGAAGGAUGACUGCCCUAUGGGUUGUAAACUUCUUUUAUAUGGGAAUAAAAUGUUCCACGUGUGGGAUUUUGUAUGUACCAUAUGAAUAAGGAUCGGCUAACUCCGUGCCAGCAGCCGCGGUAAUACGGAGGAUCCGAGCGUUAUCCGGAUUGAUUGGGUUUAAAGGGAGCGUAGGUGGAUUGUUAAGUCAGUUGUGAAAGUUUGCGGCUCAAACGUAAAAUUGCAGUUGAAACUGGCAGUCUUGAGUACAGUAGAGGUGGGCGGAAUUCGUGGUGUAGCGGUGAAAUGCUUAGAUAUCACGAAGAACUCCGAUUGCGAAGGCAGCUCACUGGACUGCAACUGACACUGAGGCUCUAAAGUGUGGGUAUCAAACAGGAUUAGAUACCCCUGUAGUC
rnacentral:rRNA from 1 species